rnacentral:lncRNA from 1 species
GGAUUCUUGACGACGCCGCAGAGAUUGCGCCAUUUCUCGAGAGCUUCCUCAGAGGAAUGCUUCGCCUUCACAUCGAAGUUUUGGUUUAGGUAACUCUCCAUCUUCCUCCUCUCUCUCUCUCUACAAUCUUCUUCUUCUUCUUUGUUCCUCCUCCAGCUUCUCUGUUUUGAAGGCUCUGUUUUCAAAGGGAAUCAAUGUUUCUGCUUAUUUCGUGGGGAGAGAACACACAAAGUUUAAUUUUGUGGGUGAGGAAGAAAAGUCGGAAGCUUUUUUAAAUGGAGGAAAGGGAAAGUUGUGAGCUUUUUGUGUGUUAUUGAUUUUGACCGAGUCAUUGAGUGCAAUUUUAUUCAUUUUGGGGGGGGCCGAAGCUGAGUUGACUCGUUUUAAUUCGUGUCCCCAACCAAAGUUAGGUGUGGUGUCUCAUUUAAUUAAAAAAAAACAUUCCAUUAUUUUAAAAUAUUAAUAACAUGCACUAGAACGCAUUUAAUGACGAAUCGUUAGAUAAUGCUUGAAACAUUCAUGCAGGGCAUGAAGAGUACACGACGCAUGUUAAAUUAUUUUCGGACAUGCUGAAGAUUAUGAUUGUCUUUUUUUAAUUCCCAAAUUUUGUCAAUGGAGCUUAAAAUUAUUAUAAUUGGUUUUAUUUUCUUUUUAAUAUUAUACAGUAUGAAAAGUCCAAUAACAGUUUGUGGAUUAAUAUUAGUGGAUUUCAAUAGUUUAAUCACCAAAUUAAAUGAUUAACAAAUUAAUAUUACAUGUCAUGUUAGAAAAAAGAAGAUCAUAUUACAUGUAAGCAUUAAUUGUAUCAUACUUCUUGUUUGGCAUCUAACUUUGAUUUUGACCAGAUUACAUGACAAUGUAGGACAAAAGUGUUGGGUGAAUUUGACAAUUAAAAAAAGGAGAGGUGGGUUAGGUAAAGAAUGAGAAAUUGGAGGAUCGUUGACCGAGACUAUUGGGAAAACUCGCCACUUCGGAGCGACUGAGACGCCACGUUCCGACCAAUUUCAUUGGUUCUUUUUGGACCAAAAAACAUUCAAGUGGUCCCAGUUGAAAUGCAAAAAUAUUUGAGAUUCCUUUUCAAAUUCAAUUAUGGAUUUCCCUCAAAGACUCGAAUUUUUUUUUUCUUACGGUCAGCGGAUAUAGGCUAUUUAUGGGCCUUCAAAGGAGCCUUCCAAAUUAAGACCUUUGCGAUAUGUAAAUGGAC